rnacentral:rRNA from 1 species
UCCUACGGGGGGCAGCAGUGGGGAAUAUUGGGCAAUGGGCGCAAGCCUGACCCAGCAACGCCGCGUGAAGGAUGAAGGUUUUCGGAUUGUAAACUUCUGUCGCGAGGGACGAAGAAUGACGGUACCUCGUAAGAAAGCCCCGGCUAACUACGUGCCAGCAGCCGCGGUAAUACGUAGGGGGCAAGCGUUGUCCGGAAUGACUGGGCGUAAAGGGAGUGUAGGCGGCUUAUCAAGUUAGAUGUGAAAUCCCGCGGCUUAACCGCGGAACUGCAUCUAAAACUGGUGAGCUGGAGUGCAGGAGAGGG